rnacentral:rRNA from 1 species
GCAGCUGCCAACGCCUCCACGGAGAAGCACGGUGACUUCCUCGACUCGCUCCUCGAGCUCUUCUCCACGGGCAAGAUGCCUCGCGACAGCCUGACAACCAUAGUGUUCGAGGUGUUCACGGCCGGGAGCGACACGAUGUCCAUCACCGUACAGUGGGCAAUGGCUGAGCUGCUCCGGAACCCAAGCGUCAUGGCAAAGGUCCGCGCGGAGAUAGACAGUGCUCUUGGCGGCAAGGAAACUAUUGGCGAGACCGACUCGGUGAGCCUGUCGUACCUCCAAGCCGUGGUGAAGGAGGCUAUGUGGCUGCACCCGGUGGCGCCGAUACUGCUGCCGCACCGGGCCGUGGAGGAAGGCGUGGAGAUCGGCGGCUACGUCGUGCCAAAGGGUUCGACGGUUAUAUUCAACGCAUGGGCGAUAAUGCGAGAUCCCGAGGCGUGGGAGAGGCCCGAUGAAUUCGUGCCGGAGAGGUUCCUGGACGUGGCAGAUCAGGUGGACUUCCGGGGUAAGGCCUUCGAGUUCAUCCCGUUCGGGUCCAGCCGAAGGCUGUGCCCAGGCCCGCCGAUGGCAGAGCGCGUCGUGCCAUUCAUCCUGGCCUCGCUGUUGCACGCGUUCGAGUGGCGGCUACCCGAAGGCGUUUCGGCCGCGGAGUUGGACGUGAGCGAGAGAUUUACCACUGCCAACGUGACGGCUGUCCCACUCAUGGCCAUGCCCGUUGGGGUCACC